rnacentral:rRNA from 1 species
GACGAACGCUGGCGGCGUGCUUAACACAUGCAAGUCGAACGGAAAGGCCCUGCUUUUGUGGGGUGCUCGAGUGGCGAACGGGGGAGUAACACGUGAGUAACCUGCCCUUGACUUUGGGAUAACUUCAGGAAACUGGGGCGAAUACCGGAUAGGAGCUCCUGCUGCAUGGUGGGGGUUGGAAAGUUUCGGCGGUUGGGGAUGGACUCGCAGCUUAUCAGCUUGUUGGUGGGGUAGUGGCUUACCAAGGCUUUGACGGGUAGCCGGCCUGGGAGGGUGACCGGCCACAUUGGGACUGAGAUACGGCCCAGACUCCUACGGGAGGCAGCAGUGGGGAAUAUUGCAGAAUGGGCGGAAGUCUGAUGCAGCAACGCCGCGUGCGGGAUGACGGCCUUCGGGUUGUAAACCGCUUUCGCCUGUGCCGAAGCGUGAGUGACGGUAAUGGGUAAAGAAGCACCGGCUAACUACGUG